CAUCUCCCGGAAGUCAUCGAUGCAGCUCUGCGGACCACGCAGCCUGAGCUCCAGAGCCUGGGCCUGAGAUCCCUGCCGCUCCCAGCCGCCCCCAGCACGCUGACCUGGUGCAGGGCCGUCAGGCCAUCCUCAUUGCACAGGCACUGCUCACCCCAUGCACCCAGGCCUGUCACUGCGUCUGGGAGGUUCUGAUGGAGAAGUGGCACGAGGGGAUGGGUGGGCAUCAAGGGGGCCAGCCUGUGUGGGGAGCCCAGUUUCCUGAGCACUAACCUGCUGAGGUCAUUUCGGGCAGCAGCUUCCAGAAGGGUGACACUGGGAGGGAAGAGGACCCGCUUCCGUGGCACGCCACCCACUACCUCCUUCCGUGGCCUUUCCCUGUGGUUCUUCUCAGCCUGGGCCCACAUCUUCACCUG